GACGAACGCUGGCGGCGUGCUUAACACAUGCAAGUCGAACGGUAAGGCCCUUCGGGGUACACGAGUGGCGAACGGGUGAGUAACACGUGGGUGAUCUGCCCUGCACUUCGGGAUAAGCCCGGGAAACUGGGUCUAAUACCGGAUAGGACCACUGCCUGCAUGGGUGGUGGUGGAAAGCUUUUGCGGUGUGGGAUGGGCCCGCGGCCUAUCAGCUUGUUGGUGGGGUGAUGGCCUACCAAGGCGACGACGGGUAGCCGGCCUGAGAGGGUGACCGGCCACACUGGGAGUGAGAUACGGCCCAGACUCCUACGGGAGGCAGCAGUGGGGAAUAUUGCACAAUGGGCGCAAGCCUGAUGCAGCGACGCCGCGUGAGGGAUGACGGCCUUCGGGUUGUAAACCUCUUUCAGCACCGACGAAGCGCAAGUGACGGUAGGUGCAGAAGAAGGACCGGCCAACUACGUGCCAGCCGCCGCAGUAA
rnacentral:rRNA from 1 species